UACCAGCUCUUCGAGUGGUGUGGAUGUUUAUUGGGCUUAAAGCAUCCGUAGCUGGCUGGGCAAGUCCCCUGUUAAAUCCACCGAUUUAAUCGUUGGAGUGCGGGGGAUACUGUUCGGCUAGGGGACGGGAGAGGCAGACGGUAUUUUCGGGGUAGGGGUGAAAUCCUAUAAUCCCGGGAAGACCACCAGUGGCGAAGGCUGUCUGCUAGAACGCGCCCGACGGUGAGGGAUGAAAGCUAGGGGGAGCGAACCGGAUUAGAUACCCGGGUAGUCCCAGCUGUAAACGAUGCAGGCUAGGUGUUUGGGCGGCCACGUGCCGCUCUAGUGCCGCAGGGAAGCCGUUAAGCCUGCCGCCUGGGGAGUACGGCCGCAAGGCUGAAACUUAAAGGAAUUGGCGGGGAGCACCACAAGGGGUGAAGCUUGCGGUUU
rnacentral:rRNA from 1 species